CCUACGGGUGGCAGCAGUGAGGAAUAUUGGUCAAUGGCCGGAAGGCUGAACCAGCCAAGCCGCGUGAGGGACGAAGGUCCUAUGGAUUGUAAACCUCUUUUGUCAGGGGACAAAGUCAGGCACGUGUGCGUGUUCGAGGGUACCUGAAGAAAAAGCAUCGGCUAACUCCGUGCCAGCAGCCGCGGUAAUACGGAGGAUGCGAGCGUUAUCCGGAUUUAUUGGGUUUAAAGGGUGCGUAGGCGGGCUGUUAAGUCAGCGGUAAAAGCCCGGAGCUCAACCCCGGCCAGCCGUUGAAACUGGCGGUCUUGAGUGGGCGAGAGGUAUGCGGAAUGCGCGGUGUAGCGGUGAAAUGCUUAGAUAUCGCGCAGAACUCCGAUUGCGAAGGCAGCAUACCGGCGGCCGUCUGACGCUGAAGCACGAAAGCGUGGGUAUCGAACAGGAUUAGAUACCCUUGUAGUC
rnacentral:rRNA from 1 species